rnacentral:ncRNA from 2 species
GCCGCUGAGGAGCGUUGCGUCCCCCGCCGUCCCGAGGUGGAUGAGGGGGGUCAGGCUCAGCUAAAUUCAACGGCGCUCGCAUCGG